GCUCUUUCGCAACCGUCAGCACAGAGUGCUUCGACUUACACAGAAUUCGUAAAACCAACUGAUGUAAGUGAAUACUCUGUGUUGAUGGUGAUGAUGC
rnacentral:miRNA from 18 species